ensembl:snoRNA snoRNA:291 snoRNA:291
GGCGUUGUUCCAUCCGCACAUGAUUCUUCUCCCUGGAGGAGCGAGUGAUUACCUGCAAGGGCCAACUGAAGGCA